rnacentral:misc_RNA from 1 species
UCAUUGUUUAUUUAUAUUCCCUCUUAACAAUAGCUAAAUGUUCAACACACUUGUGCCUGUGGAGUGCAACUCUAUUCAUCACGACUUGCAACUUCUAAUCCAUUACCAUCCGGAUCAAAGAAGAAGACCUGCCUAAUUGCACGACCAGGAACAGACCUUUGGAAAGUUUCAAUUCCCUUAUCCUUGAGAGUUUGGACGAAGGAAUCGAAAUUGGAAACGGAGAAGCAGAUAUGAUGGCCUCUGGGGAGAUGACUGGGAUCAAGAACCGGUGAGGCAGCGCUGUAGGGCCCUUCUGGAAGCUUCGUGGUGGGGCUUC